UGCGUAGGCGGCCGAGCAAGUCAGUUGUGAAAACUAUGGGCUUAACCCAUAACGUGCAAUUGAAACUGUCCGGCUUGAGUGAAGUAGAGGUAGGCGGAAUUCCCGGUGUAGCGGUGAAAUGCGUAGAGAUCGGGAGGAACACCAGUGGCGAAGGCGGCCUACUGGGCUUUAACUGACGCUGAGGCACGAAAGCAUGGGUAGCAAACA
rnacentral:rRNA from 1 species